GGCGAGGGGUGGGGAGGAAAUAGCUCGAGGAGCGGCGUCCUCCUUUCGCUAACAGAGGCAGGGAAGGGGCCAGAGAGGAGGCGGCGGGCGGAGGAGGCAGAGGUGCCUACGGCGGAGAAGAAAGUGUCGGAGCCGGUUCGGCUUUAGAGUGUGGUGAAGGGUACUUUUCAUGGUGCAUGGAAGGAAAGCCAAUGCGCAGGUGUACCAACAUUCGACCAGGAGAGACUGGAAUGGAUGUAACAAGCCGCUGCACCCUUGGAGACCCCAACAAACUGCCAGAAGGGGUUCCCCAACCUGCCCGCAUGCCCUAUAUAUCAGACAAGCACCCUCGACAAACCUUGGAAGUGAUUAACCUUCUGAGGAAGCACCGGGAGCUGUGCGAUGUGGUGCUAGUUGUGGGCGCUAAGAAGAUAUAUGCCCAUCGAGUCAUUUUGUCAGCCUGUAGUCCCUACUUCCGAGCUAUGUUUACAGGAGAAUUGGCAGAGAGCCGUCAGACAGAAGUAGUGAUCCGAGACAUAGAUGAGAGGGCUAUGGAACUACUGAUAGACUUUGCAUAUACCUCCCAGAUAACUGUGGAAGAGGGCAAUGUUCAGACCCUUCUGCCAGCUGCUUGCCUCCUCCAGCUGGCAGAAAUACAGGAAGCCUGUUGUGAAUUCUUAAAGAGACAAUUAGAUCCUUCUAACUGCCUGGGUAUUCGUGCUUUUGCUGACACACAUUCAUGUCGUGAGUUGCUAAGGAUAGCAGACAAGUUCACUCAACAUAACUUUCAAGAGGUGAUGGAAAGUGAAGAGUUCAUGUUGCUUCCAGCCAAUCAACUCAUUGACAUAAUAUCUAGUGAUGAACUAAAUGUUCGCAGUGAAGAACAGGUGUUCAAUGCAGUGAUGGCCUGGGUUAAAUACAGUAUUCAAGAAAGACGUCCUCAGUUACCCCAGGUGCUGCAGCAUGUUCGUUUGCCUUUGCUUAGUCCCAAGUUCCUGGUGGGCACUGUAGGCUCUGAUCCUCUCAUCAAAAGUGAUGAAGAAUGCAGAGACUUGGUAGAUGAGGCUAAAAACUAUCUCCUGUUGCCUCAAGAACGACCACUAAUGCAAGGACCAAGGACAAGACCACGGAAACCUAUUCGAUGUGGAGAAGUGCUCUUUGCAGUUGGUGGUUGGUGCAGUGGAGAUGCCAUUUCCAGUGUUGAACGAUAUGAUCCACAGACCAAUGAAUGGCGGAUGGUAGCUUCAAUGAGCAAAAGGCGAUGUGGAGUCGGGGUCAGUGUUCUUGAUGACCUGUUAUAUGCAGUAGGUGGCCAUGAUGGAUCCUCUUAUCUCAAUAGUGUUGAAAGGUAUGACCCCAAAACAAACCAAUGGAGCAGUGAUGUGGCUCCUACAAGCACCUGCAGGACAAGUGUUGGUGUGGCUGUGCUUGGAGGCUUUCUCUAUGCUGUGGGUGGCCAGGAUGGAGUGUCUUGCCUCAACAUUGUUGAGAGGUAUGAUCCCAAGGAGAACAAAUGGACUCGAGUGGCUUCUAUGAGUACGAGAAGACUAGGCGUGGCUGUGGCUGUGUUAGGAGGGUUCUUAUAUGCUGUAGGUGGCUCUGAUGGGACAUCUCCACUCAACACAGUGGAGCGUUAUAAUCCUCAGGAAAACAGAUGGCACACCAUAGCCCCUAUGGGGACCCGGAGGAAACACCUAGGCUGUGCAGUGUAUCAGGAUAUGAUCUAUGCCGUAGGAGGUAGAGAUGACACUACAGAGCUUAGCAGUGCUGAGAGAUACAACCCCAGAACUAACCAGUGGUCUCCAGUGGUGGCUAUGACAUCCCGCCGUAGUGGAGUUGGCUUGGCAGUAGUGAAUGGACAGCUCAUGGCUGUAGGAGGUUUUGAUGGCACAACGUACUUAAAGACCAUUGAAGUUUUUGAUCCUGAUGCCAAUACAUGGAGGUUUUGAGAAGACUUCUAAGAGUACAUACAAAACAAAAGGAUAGAAAUCAGUAAUUGAAGUUUUGGCAAAAGGAAAAUGUUAUAUGGCGGGAUGAAUUACCGUCGGCUUGGGGGUGGUGUAGGAGUUAUAAAAAUGACACAUUGUGAAUCCCAUAUAUGGUGAACAUAUAGAAGACAGUCGUGUAUGUGCUCCUCUGUAUUCUGGAGAGCUUUGACUUUGGAGCUUUGUACAGCUCUAGAAAAUACUAAACAAAUUUUAUUCUUUGCCGGUGCCUCAACAUGUGUGAAUACAAAUACAGUGAAAGUACUUCACCUGCAAGAUGUCAGCUUUGCACAAUAAUUUUCAGUUCUGUGCAGAAGAAUAUUUAUUUUUGCUUUUAAUUUAUCAUGGGCUUUUUGUUGUUGGGUUUUUGGUUUUUUUGGUUUUUUGUUUUUGUUUUUGGAUUUAGCCUUCCUCCCAACAAAAGAAAAAAAUGAAAGACAAAAAAAAAAAAGACAAACAUUUUAAGCAGUAAAACUUAUUUUUAAGAUACUGAUUAAGUUUGAAGAAACUACUAAUAAGGGAAAAGGGCUAUAUUUGAUCUAGUUGUCAAUUCUAAGCACUCCAUCCACAAGACUCCACUAUUUACAGGGACUUACCAGUGACAAAGAUAGAUAUGUGAAGUGUAUUAGCCAUCAUUCGUGCACUAAGCACCAGAAGACUUGAAAAUCUAAAAAACAAAACAAAGGAAACAUCUCAUUUAACUAGAACAAUUCAAAAGGAAUAUUAAAUCAAUAAAAUGAGGACUCAGAUGCCAAAGUUUUCAUCAGUGGAAGCUCAUAUCUUGUUUCCUUCCAUAUGAAUUUGUUUGCCACUAUAUUUAAAGUCUUUUUUUUUUAAUAUUUUCAUAGAGUUUCUGCUACAUCUGCUCAGUGCCUCUACAAAAACAGUAUACGAUUCUCAUAUACUGUCUUGAGAAUCCCCCAGUAGAAUCAUGUGUAACUCUGCAAGUUUUUGCUCAAAAAACAUUACUGACUGAAGCAACUUUCUAUUUUCUGUUGCUACUAAGGACCAGCAGGGAGAAAUGUCCUCUCCCCAGCAGUGAAUACUGUUAUGCAGUUUACACUUAAUGCUCAGGCCUGCUGAAGCUGAGGCUUACCUGUCAUCACAGCCUCCAAGGGAAUGAAUUCUUCAGUUCGUGUAAUAGUAUGCUAACGAGUGUAAAAUCAGUUGAGGCAUUUUAUUGAUAAAAUCUUGGUUCUUUUAUAAGGAAAAUAUAUAUCAUUAUCCUCAUUCUAUAAAGCCACUAUUGCUACUGUUCUCAAAUUGCACUUUCUGGUAAGAAGUUAACAUUUUUAAGGAAAAAAAGGAUACAGCUUUCAGUGGUUAAAGUUUUUUGUUAUUGUGUUCAUAGACCAGUUUUUUUCAAUGUUAUCUUGCAGGAAAAUCUUUGAAUAAGACUUUAACCACAACCAAAAGGAAUAACCUUCUUCUCCCUCCCCUCACUAUAAAAAUGUUUGGCAACAUUUGUGUUUACAUUUAAAGAUCAUUUGCACCUUUACAAGGAAGAAAAAUAAGUAUUUGGUAAGCAAUUGUUUACGUGUAUCAUUUAUGCUUUUUUCUAGCAUGUAUAACUUUUUAAAAUAAAGGUAGUACUUACCAUAAAAAA